AGGAAGGAAGGAAGGAAGGAAGGAAACUACUAGUUCAAUAAUGUGUGCUUGCUGCUUUUGCAGAUUUUCACUGGCAUUUCUUUUAUAUCUAUACAUGAAGCUUUGUCCACUUUCAAACCACUCCAAACACCCCAGUGCUUUCCUCAAGGCAAGACAGGCACAGUGGGCUUGGUACAACUGGCAUUCUGGCAGAGUGUCCUACCCCACAAAAAAUUCACAAGAAAUGGGGACUACAGCUGACUUCCAAACUACAGUGCCAGGAUAUAUUAACUAACAGAGAGUGUCCAAAGGAGAGUAACGAAGAUGGUUGAGAAAGACCUUGAGGUGAAGUCGUAUGAGGAGCAGCUGAGGUCACUUGUUCUGUUCAGCCUGGAGAAGAGGAGGUGGAGGGGAGACCUCGCUGCACUUACAACUUCCUUGUGAGGGGAAAAGGAGGGCCAGGCACUCAUCUCUUCUCUCUGGUGACAGUCAGCACACCCAAGUGAAUGGCCUGAAGUUCUGUCAGGAGAGGAUUAGGUUGGAUGUCUGGAAAAUUUUCUUCCACCAGAGGAUAACUGGGCACUGCACCAGGAUCCCCAGGAAAGUGGGCACUGCACCAAGCCUGACAGAAUUCAAUAAGUGUUUAGACAAAGCUCUCAGGUACAUGGUGUGACUAUUGAUGUGUUCUGUGUUGGGCCAGGAGUGGGACUUCAAUGACCUUUGUAGUGCCUUCCAUCUUAGAACAUUUAAUCAUUCUAUGAUUCUAUGGGAAUGAAGGAGUUAAAAAUAUUAAUUAUUAAUAUGUAUUAUUUAAUUAUUAAUUAUUUAGUAUUAAUCUAUGAAUAGAUUUAGCCAAGACAAAUGAGCUGCUGUUUAUUGUGCUUAUCAUUACUUUUAAAACAAGGCAGCAAUAUUGAUCAUUACUUAUCCUAAGUAUUCAUAGAAUUUGUAGAACUCAAAGUUGUAGUCUGCUAUAGACUUCUUCUCAGUCUCCUCUUUUCUAGGCUGAACAAGCCAAAUGAUCUCACCAUUCAUCAUAUGUCUUCCCUUCUAGAACCCUUUAUAAACUUUGUAGUCUCCUUUGUACACUUUCUAACAGAUUUAUAUCUCUCUUAUAUUGUGGUGACCAAAACUGCACACAGGACUCGAGGUAAGGCUGCACCAGCACAGAAAAAAGCAGGACUAUCCCCUCCUUUGACCAGCUUUUUAAGUUUGCUGGCAGAGAAAGACUCCUGUCAUUGUUUUUACAGAAGGGCCAGUGUUCCUGCAAUUGUCUCUAAGAGCUUCUGUUUCCCAGAACUAAGUAUUUCUACCAGGUUGAAAAGAAAUAAAUCUCAAAAUAAAUUCCAUCUAGGGAAAUGUGUGCAUCUCUUUAUAAGUGCAAUGCAGAUUCACUGCAUCUCCAUGGUACUGUUCUCAGGAUAAUGGAAAAUUAUGACUGCAAAAAUCAAAAACCCCAAAAAAAAUAGAAGUGUUAUUCUACUGAACAGAAUAUUUAAAGUUAUUCAGAAAAAAGUUUAAGAAGCAAGAAUGAACACAGCUGCAGUAGGAUGAAUGUACCUCUGUAAAUAGUAUUUAAGCUUUUACUUUCAAUGUCUGAUAAGAAUGUCAACAACAUAAUAGCACUCUUCAGCAAAAAAUGUACUUCAUUUUCAAAAUAUGAUGUCUCAACAUGAAGUAUUUGAAAUUUUUAUGUGAAAGUUUUAGCUUAUCCAAUAUAUAUUGGGAGGUUUUCAACUAAAGCAUUGUUCAUAAAAGUCAAAAAGUCAGAUGUCACUAUGUUGUACUAUGAAAUCUAAAUUUAUAUAUUUAUUUAUUACUUGGAAUUUAAAUAGUGAAGUUCUAAAAGUGUAUUUUCUAUUCUGCUGUCUCUGUCAUCUUGAACAUUUAUAUCACAUUGUCUUUUCAAAAACAAACAAACAAACAAAAAUAGAACAAGAAGAGGAAAAAAAAUUACCUUUUGUUUUCUAUGUAACUUUCCAUAAGUAAUUGGAUUUUUUUGUUGUUGUUGGAAUAGGCUUUCCAUUAGUGGAACUAACAGAUUUUUUGAGAAGGAAAGGUAAAAUGUUCUAUAUAAGAUUGUGUUCUGGGUGUUAGUUUUUUUC